UUUGAUAUCGGGCAAAGCAAGCGAAAGCUUGUGGCGCAAAGCUAUAGGGACUUUAACAUGUCAGCCAGUUGCAUCU
rnacentral:ncRNA from 1 species